UUGGCAUGGCAUGCCUCCUCCUUUCGGAGAAAUUAACAAGGGCAAAGCCCCCUUCAGCCGUGCAGACACUCUGAACGGGAGCCUGUCAGCUUUGAGGGGACGUGGGCUGUGCAGGUUCCUCCCAGCCCGGGGCUACCUCCUCGGUCCUGGACACCAUCUGCACUCUGUCAGCCAGGUACGUGAGCUUCCCCUCGCAGUACGCCAGCUUGCUGUUCAAAUCGAGGGUGUCGGAGAGCACCACUUCUCUCUGUAGGCCGGGAGGAGGGUCUCAUCUCCCCUCUGGCCCUGCCCAGGGACCUGGUGUGUGGCAGCUCAGCCUCACUCCUGGUACCUGGGUCGCAGGCAAGGUGAUGCCCAUCAGCCGGACAUAGAGGUUGUCGAUGCCCAUCUGGAUGGUCAGCAGCAGCUCCUGGCCCUUGGUCAUGUUGCUGUGCGCCAGCUGGAGCCUCUCUUCUUCCUCUUUUAGCAUGUCUGUCAUCUUCUUCUCAACGGACUUGAAGCUGCAGAAGGCAAUAGGGACACAGCAGUGAGGGGCACAGCCCCGAGAGCCAUGGUGGGCCACCCAGGAGCCCAGUCCUGAGUUGGGUGCUGUGCCAGAAUCAGGGACUCGGAAGCUCAGGUGUGUGCAAGUGGAGCCCCCUGGCCCCUCUGUGGGACACACAGGCUUGUUGGCAGUGGGUACACUCCCAGCUCCCAGCCUGGCUGCAGCCCGGGGCCUUCGUGAGACUGGGGUGGGUGGCCCGCAGCCCCGGAAGCCCGGGGCACCUGAUGGAGCUAGGCUUCUGGCGGAACUUGAGCACGGCCUCCUCCAGCUCCAGCUGCUUCACCAGGGCCUUCAGCUGCACCCGCCGCUCCUCACAGUCCUCCAUCUGCAGCUCCAGGUUCUCCUCCGUGUUCCUCUGGGCCAGGAAGCGGCUAGCAAUGUCCUGGCCAGUCCGGGGGAGAGAGAAGCAGGUGUGGGCUGGGAAGGUGGGCAGAGGGGGCUUCACAGAACUGGUUUCUUCUGGGCCCCUCCUAGAGGCUAGUGCACUUUCUCUGUGCUCAUUCACAAGUGCGAUCACAGCUCACUGCAGCCUCAACCUCCCAGACUCAAGCGAUCCUCCCACCUCAGCUUCCUGAGUAGCUGGGACCACAGGUGUGCGCCACCACACUUAGCAGGAGUGAAGCGCUUUGUGGAUGUCAUUGCACACGACCCUAAUGGCAGGCAGAGAGAGUAGAUAACCCCAUGUAGAGAUAAGGAGAUCAUCACUGAAGGACGUUGUGUCACUUGAGUCACUUGUCUGACAGUGGACAAGCUUGUGUCAGGGCAGUGGUUGGGAGCUCAAGGCCUAAUAAUAAUAAACGCAGAUACGCAGAUGGGAUUAAGAUAAAAGGAUUUGGGGCGGCCGAGGGAGUUGCCACUUUGUGUGUCCAUUUCAGAGCGCCUCAGACCCCAGCCCAGCUCAGCCACCCUCCUGCCAUGCUCUGGGAGUGCCAGGGAGCAUUACCCAGACGUGAGAGGCUCAGCCACCCUCCUGCCAUUCUCUGGGAGCGCCAGGGGCAUUACCCAGACGUGAGAGCACUGUACAGCACUCUUGACCUUCUCCACCACAGCAGUCACGCCCGCCUGGUAUUCCAUUUCUCCUGUGGAGGUCUCUUUUCUCCUCACUGGCAGAGCAGAGGGGAGGGGCAGUCAGCAUGCAGGGAUGGCUCAGGGGCUCUGUGUAAGGCUGUCAGACACCUCUGUACCUGCCCAGCUGCUGGGGAGGCCACCCAAGACACAGGCAUCCUUCAGAGAUGCCUGCCCCACCCCCACCU
rnacentral:lncRNA from 1 species